AAAUGCGAUAAGUAAUGUGAAUUGCAGAAUUCAGUGAAUCAUCGAAUCUUUGAACGCACCUUGCGCUCCUUGGUAUUCCUUGGAGCAUGCCUGUUUGAGUAUCAUGAAAUCUUCAAAGUAAAUCUUUUGUUAGCUCAAUUGGUUUCUACUUUGGUAUUGGAGGUCUUUGCAGCUUCACACCUGCUCCUCUUUGUUCAUUAGCUGGAUCUCAGUGUUAUGCUUGGUUCCACUCGGCGUGAUAAGUUAUCUAUCGCUGAGGACACUGUAAAAGGUGGCCAAGGUAAAUGCAGAUGAACCGCUUCUAAUAGUCCAUUGACUUGGACAAUACUUUUAUGAUCUGAUCUCAAAUCAGGUAGGACUACCCGCUGAACUUAAGC
rnacentral:misc_RNA from 1 species